GACGUAGGGCGCGAGCGUUGUCCGGAUUUAUUGGGCGUAAAGAGCUCGUAGGCGGCUUGUCGCGUCGACUGUGAAAUCCCGCGGCUCAACCGCAGGUCUGCAGUCGAUACGGGCAGACUAGAGUGCGGUAGGGGAGAUUGGAAUUCCUGGUGUAGCGGUGGAAUGCGCAGAUAUCAGGAGGAACACCGAUGGCGAAGGCAGAUCUCUGGGCCGUAACUGACGCUGAGGAGCGAAAGCAUGGGGAGCGAACAGG
rnacentral:rRNA from 1 species